UCGUCUAUAUACGUAUAGCAUAUCAAUAAGCGGAGGAAAAGAAACUAACUAGGAUUCCCUCAGUAACGGCGAGUGAAGCGGGAAGAGCUCAAAUUUGAAAUCUUCAAGGUUCUACCUUGACGAAUUGUAGUUUAAAGAAGUGUUUUCUGUUGGAGUUUUGGUAAAAGUUCUUUGGAAUAGGACAUCAUAGAGGGUGAGAAUCCCGUAUUUGACCAUUAUUUCCAACUUUGUGAUACACUUUCAAAGAGUCGGAUUGUUUGGGAAUGCAGUCCAAAAUGGGUGGUAAAUUUCAUCUAAAGCUAAAUAUUGGCGAGAGACCGAUAGCGAACAAGUACCGUGAGGGAAAGAUGAAAAGAACUUUGAAAAGAGAGUUAAACAGUACGUGAAAUUGUCAAAAGGGAAGCGUUUGACACCAGUGUUGUUUUCUCGAAAAUCAAUUAAAAAUGGUGGGAUUUUGUGUUGUAUUGACUUUAUCAGCUUUCUGCACUUUUUUCCUAUCUUUUUUAAUGCACUUUUCGUUUAACAAGUCAACAUCAAUUUCUUUUGUUGUAAAAGGGUCAUUGGAAGGUGGCUUUCACUUCGGUAGAAAGUGUUUAUAGCCUUUGGCUUCUGCAAUCGGAGAGAUUGAGGUCUGCAGCGUAGAUCCUUCGGGGUUAGAUACGUAGAUGCUAAGUUAUAGUUUUUUAUAGACAACUUGUUGACUAUAAUUAAUCAUGUAGCUUACUCGUUUGCGCUAUUUUACCUACGCUUAGGAUGUUGACGAUCAGCUGAGCGCG
rnacentral:rRNA from 1 species